rnacentral:rRNA from 1 species
AGCGAACGCUGGCGGCAGGCCUAACACAUGCAAGUCGAACGAACCUUUCGGGGUUAGUGGCGGACGGGUGAGUAACACGUGGGAACGUGCCUUUAGGUUCGGAAUAACUCAGGGAAACUUGUGCUAAUACCGAAUGUGCCCUUCGGGGGAAAGAUUUAUCGCCUUUAGAGCGGCCCGCGUCUGAUUAGCUAGUUGGUUGAGGUAAUGGCUCACCAAGGCGACGAUCAGUAGCUGGUCUGAGAGGAUGAUCAGCCACAUUGGGACUGAGACACGGCCCAAACUCCUACGGGAGGCAGCAGUGGGGAAUCUUGAGCAAUGGGCGAAAGCCUGACGCAGCCAUGCCGCGUGAAUGAUGAAGGUCUUAGGAUUGUAAAAUUCUUUCACCGGGGACGAUAAUGACGGUACCCGGAGAAGAAGCCCCGGCUAACUUCGUG